CACACACCUACCCCUAUAUAUACACACAUCUACCCCAUAUGUACACACACCUACCCCUAUAUGUACACACACCUACCCCUAUAUGUACACAUACCUACAGAUAUUUCUUUAUGCGACUAUAGGUGUCUAUAAUAGGCUAAACCUGAGUUCUUCUGAUAUCUCUGACUCUAAUCAUUGUGUCAUUUUCCCACUUUGCUGUAAUUCUCCUCCAAUAAGAAACAUGGCUCCCACCGACCAUCCACUUAAUUAAUGGUUCAGUUUUUUGUUGUUGUUGUUGUUGUUGUUUUGGAGACAGAGUCUCUCUCUGUCGUGGGAUUACAGGCGUGAGCCACCGUGCCCAACCGAUGGUUCAGUUUUAGCAUGAAUGUGGUGUCAGCACUGUUCACCAGUACUCCUGCAAGAAACAACUUUAUCCACUAGAGUACAAUGCUGUGUGCAGUUCUCUUUGCCUUUGGUCUUAGAGACGCCACUCAUUUCCAAAUUACUUAUAUUAUUAACAGCACCUUUCCCCUACUGGCUUCAGUGAGCUCCUGAAACUUCUGCAGGGUUUUCUUUUGAAAUAAGGGGAUGGCCCUUUUCCAGGAAGGCGGCCUCAAGGAAAAGCCACCUCCAGGUGUAACCAGAAACACUGAGCAUUUCUCAGCGGGGAGGGAGAGGACAGCCUGACAUUUUAUUGUCUGAGCUGAACUUACGCUGUAUGAAUACAAACAGCUCCUAGAUAUUUGUAGCGUGGUGGCUUCCUGAGUCUGCAGACUGAGGUUCUUGCUGCACCACGUGUGGGAGGUGAGGAUGCUGUUCCCUCGUUGCCUUCAAGACAUCUGCUUGGGUUUGGUCUGUCACUUUAAGAUCCUCCUGGUAGCUCGUGUUACCCUUCCCUCCCAUGUCUAGCAUGCUGUGGAAUUUACUUUCCAAAUCAUUCUACUCCCUUCCCUGCACUGUGCAUUUGAAAUCCUAGUGCUCAACCUCAACACAUUUAGAACUCCCAAGUUGCAGCAAUUCUCUACCUCCUUCCUCGUAGGUCCUGGACACGUACGAGUGCAUACAUGCCUGCAGCUUAGGCACGUUCACGUGGAGUGACUGAUCUGAUUCUCCUGACGUCACUCUGAUGCACAGGUGCUCUGAUUCAUUUUACCGGCGGCCCGGCUCACUGAAGCAACCCAUCCAGGCCAUCCUUGCCAACUUGCUCUUCUUGGGUGGAUUAAAGGCUGAUGUGCUCUCCAGGGGCUUGUGAAUCUUCUGGGUACCCCUACCCAGUCAGGAUGGCUGCAGAUGCAUCUUUAUGCACAUUCCAGCAGCAUCUCUGCCUGGGGUGCUGAAAGUCACUGUCUGAAGCAGCUGGGAGGCAGAAGUGAUUCUGACUUUGGGGCACCCACCCUCUGGAAAAUGUGGCACAUCAUUAGUGGAUGGUUCAAGCACGCUCAGCUCUCAGGGGGCAGUUAUUCCUGGCACCAAGAAACUAGCCUGGAAAAAUCUGUCUUAUGCAACAUGCAGGGUCCAUGAAGGGCAGAGCUCUGAUUUUCAAGGUGUGGGAUAGCCAAUGGUUCGAUUCCAGAUGAGGCAUCUCCACUCGCUAUACUUCAGCGGGAUCGUGGGCUCCUUGGCACAGAUGUCGGGGUUAUGAAUUGUGAUUGGUUUAUAUUUUAUAAUCCACAUUUUGGAAACCAAUUGUGUUGAGGAUCUUCAUCUUCUCAUGUAUUUUAGGUCUAGGGUGAAACAUUUCUUUGAUGUUUAACACUGGGUACUGACGCUGAAGUGUGACCGCCACACAAAGUAUCCAGCCUACCCCAGUCGAGCAGGGGUCUUCAGGACCGCAGCAUACUUUGUGGUUGCCUCCUUGGCAGUGGGGGUGGAGUCUAGAAUGAAUUGCUGCUUCCCAGCUUCUAGAGUUGCUGUGGUUGCAAGCUCUGGUCUCUUGAUCUCUGUCUCACACGCUCUGGGCCCACCGUUUUGCUGCAGCUAUUGCCGUGGUGACUGGCCACGUGCAGGUGUGGCCUGACACACCGUGUCUCAGCUCUGCCUGGUCCUCUACCACCUCUACCUGGCAUCUGGCAGGAGCCCGCUUAGCCGUGGUGUGUGGCGCACCCGGGAGUGUGAGGGAAUUAACACCCUCAGGCAACCCCCGACCAGUCGAGACCACAGCUAAUGGAGAACACUUCCCUUUCCAAGCCAUGGCUGGACCAUGUGAGGCUCCUUCCUUGGUGGAUCCCAAGCAGGAUCAAGCCUAAACCAUCCACAGUGGUAACCCCCUUAGUCUCACAUCCUUGAGUUGGCUUUUCUUAUUCUUGGUUUCUCCCCCUCCAGGUCCCACUCAGGCUUCCUGAAAUCACCUUCCCACAUAGCCCUGCUCUGUAGAGGUCCUGGCCUCAGCCAGCUUCUGGGGGAACAUGAGCUAUGGCAGCUGUUUAUCUGUUUCAAAUAACAUUAUAAGACAACGCCAGAGACAUUCAAUACCAUGGCCAAGGUCCCAUGGUGAAAAUAUGGCGCAUGUGAGAUGCAGAACAAGAACCCAACAGGUGUUCAUCGCCAUCGUGGCAGGAAACAGCAAGACAACUUGACAAGGAUCUCCUGCCACUUGCCCACUGGAACUGGAAUGGAGUGUUAAUGACGCAGGAGUGCGUGAAUUUACAUGUCAUAUACACAUAUACAAAUUCACCUGUAGACAGAGCAAUAUUUGGUUAUAUGAAACGUCUACAAAGAGCACAUUCUAAAAGCAGCUUUAGGAUUAUGGGUGCUUUUCUCCCUCUUAACACAUUAAAAAUGUGUUAAUUUUUAAAUGUGUUUAAAUGUGUUAAUUUUUUUUCUCCACUGAACAUAAAUAAUUUGUAUACAUUGAAAAGAAAACAAGGUUAUCUUUUGAAAAAAAGACACAAUCAAUAAUAAAAUGAUUCCCCACUUAGUGCCUGAUGUCCUUCAAAUGUUAUUUUAUUAGUCCUAUAAGAGAUUACAAAAUUAAAUGAAAAGACAAGGACAUUAAGAUUUAGGGUGAAAAUAGCUGAAUUUAAAAUAAAAGUUUCAACAAGCUGCCAAGCCUUCCUGUACUAUUGCUAUCUCAGCUUCUUGGGGAGGACAGGUUAAAGGGAGGCCUUCUGUGGGAAAGCCUGAUGAUCCUUGUGAUGAAUAAAUUGACAUCCAGCUGCUGUUAUUAUAUCCUGGAAGGGCUCAGGAUGGAAACCUUAUUCUGCCAUUGGUUGUUGGAAAUAAUGAGGCUUUAUAUCCCCUUCAAGGAAAAAAAUGUGCUACAAUAGUUUAUAAAAUAAGCCAGAAAAUGCUAUGAAAGGUGUCAGUUUCUUUUUCCUGUGGAGUAAGAAGCCCUUGGUUCGCCAUCGCUAUGGACUGAUGGUGUCAUUCUCCCCAGCCCCAAAGUUCAUAAGUGGAAGCCCUAACUCCAGUGUGAUGGCAUUUGAAGGGGGGGCCUUUGGGAGGUAAUUAGGGUUACGCCGUAAGGUCAUGAGGAUGGGGCCCCAAGAUGGGGUUACUGCCCUUAUAAGAAGUGACAGGGGAGAGCGGGUGCUCUCUCCUGUGAGGACACAAUGAGCAGCCAGGACGCGGCCCUCCCAGAACCCGACCACGCAGGCAUACGGAUCCCAGCCUCCAGCCUCUGGCCACUGGCCUCCAGAACUGGGAGGAAACCCAUUUCGGUUGUUUUUGGCUCCCAGCCUGUGGGUGCCACAGACUCAGCGCUAUCACUGUCUCCAGCAUCAGAACUGCCCCGGGGUAGGUGGAGACUGCGGGCUUUCUUAUGCCAGUGAAAUGAAAGAUCACAGACACACACUGGGCAGUGAAUACUCUGGACACCUGAGGGGUGCAGCUGCGUCCCACCGUCCACACAGUGCUGCUGAAAAAGCAAGGACUCUAUUUCUCUUUCUGUCUAAAAGCCUGAUGGGUCCAUUCAACACAGCAACUGGCUUGAGAAACCGAUUCUUAGGGAUCACAUCUUAGCAGCGUACAGGACCACGGGGCCCAGACGCGCCUCUCAGGGCCCAUCACAUAGCACUUCAGGAAGCCCACCCAGCUCUCUGAGACCCUCCCUUCCCUGAAGUCUGGAGGGCAGACUCAGCACA